UACGUAUGGGGCGAGCGUUGUUCGGAUUUAUUGGGCGUAAAGGGCGUGUAGGCGGUUUCGUAAGCCCGGUGUGAAAUAUUCAGGCUUAACCUGAAAAACGCGCUGGGAACUGCGAGACUAGAGUUCAGGAGGGGAAGCUGGAAUUCCAGGUGUAGGGGUGAAAUCUGUAGAUAUCUGGAAGAACACCAAAGGCGAAGGCAAGCUUCUGGCCAUGGACUGACGCUGAGGCGCGAAAGCGUGGGGAG
rnacentral:rRNA from 1 species